UGUCAAUAAGUCACGUCACAUACUAAACACAUAUUUAAUAAAGUUCUCCAUGAGUUAGCCUACAUUUGUUUAGAUUUAUUUCCAAAUUAGAAAAUAUUCCCAAUUCCUGUUUUAUUUACAACCAUUCGCUUGUCACUUUGACGUUUGACAGCGAACUAUUUGAGUUUCGUUGUCUUUGACAGAUUCGGUAACUUUCAUUCCAAUGCCUUUAAAAUUGUCUCAAACGUUUUCAUAUUUGAUAAAUUCUUCUUUUCGUUUAAAUUUCGCAAGUGGUAGUUUUGUUUUAGGAAAAAUAGAUCCGACAAUAUUUGAUAAUAUAUUUAAUAAUAUAUUCGUCAAAAAUUGUUCAAAAUUUAUUACAAUUUUAGCAUUUUGGUUAGCAAAAAUCAUUCUUAUUUCGGAUCUGGUAACAUUUCUUCUUAUCGAUGGUUCGAUGUGAAUUCCGUCUUGUCAUUUUACUGUCAGCUUUCUCAUUGGAAAACAGAUAAAAUUUUGAUCCGAGAAAAUCAUUGUAAAUUUCCAUUAUUUUGGUGAAAUACCGGCAGUGCUUUGUUCCGGAGGUUUGCUCCGUCCCUCAGGAAUGGAUUAGGGGCGAAAAUAAUGCCGCCACGGCAAACCCCGGCAACCUAAUGAAGGGCUAACGUAAGUUUUUCCUCAAUUUCCACAAUCGUCUUUCGGAAAAUGCGAUUCCUUUUAAAUUUUCCGGUUCGACUUUAGCUGACUCGCGCCAUUUUUCUUUUCCAGAUAAGGGGCGUGUUAGCCCUUAUAACCCUUAUAAUCCUUUUAA